rnacentral:rRNA from 1 species
GACGAACGCUGGCGGCGUGCCUAAUACAUGCAAGUAGAACGCUGAAGGAGGAGCUUGCUUCUCUGGAUGAGUUGCGAACGGGUGAGUAACGCGUAGGUAACCUGCCUGGUAGCGGGGGAUAACUAUUGGAAACGAUAGCUAAUACCGCAUAAUAGUAGAUGUUGCAUGACAUUUGCUUAAAAGGUGCAAUUGCAUCACUACCAGAUGGACCUGCGUUGUAUUAGCUAGUUGUUGGGGUAACGGCUCACCAAGGCGACGAUACAUAGCCGACCUGAGAGGGGGGUCGGCCACACUGGGACUGAGACACGGCCCAGACUCCUACGGGAGGCAGCAGUAGGGAAUCUUCGGCAAUAGACGGAAGUCUGACCGAGCAACGCCGCGUGAGUGAAGAAGGUUUUCGGAUCGUAAAGCUCUGUUGUAAGAGAAGAACGAGUGUGAGAGUGGAAAGUUCACACUGUGACGGUAUCUUACCAGAAAGGGACGGCUAACUACGUG